UUUUUAUUUUAUACUUUAAACCUUGAAUUUAUUUUUUAAAUGUUUAUAUUAUUUGAAUAAAACAUUCAAAUAAUAUAAGAAAUAAUAUGUUUAUUGACAUGGAUUAAACAAAGAUAUAUAUUAUUCUAUGUUGUAUGAACAAAUUGGCAAAAUAGAGAUGGAAGAUAAAAAUA
rnacentral:misc_RNA from 1 species